rnacentral:lncRNA from 1 species
GUCGCCGCCGCCGCCACCGCUGGAGCCUCGGCCAACUCCGCCGCCUCCUCCCCGCCGGUCGCCGGGCCCUGCGUCGUCACCUCCCGCGGAACGGUUCCCGGCCCGGGGCACCGCGGCCAGGCGCUCUCUGCGCGGCCCAUCUCCUCGCCGGUCUCCGGAGAGUCCCGGUCGCUUGCUGCAGGGGAGAAACGGGCAUAGUGGCGGGUUCUAAGGGUCUGCCUUUAGGAGUCACUGAGACUGGCUUCCUCCCACCUUCAAAUCCUCCUCACUCAAACGCUACAAACUGGGAAACACGCCCCGCGUACGGGUUGCGGGGGCGGGAGGGGGUUGGGGUGCCGGCAGGAAAGUAGCAGAGGCCAAAAAUGAAGCCCAGGACCUGGGCCGCAGCAAACACGUGGCAGCGCACACCCAGAGAAGGACAGAGAAAAUUCUCGAAAGAAAAAGGCUAAUCCAAAAGACAAACUGACAUCUGAGACUGCCCCUGGCUCAGCUCUACCUCAGCCCCCAACCCACCGCCAACUCACAAAAGGCUGGCAGAGGACCGGGACAAAAGAAAGGAUGUCCUUCAAAGUUAUGUACACACAGAGACUGACAUACAACCUAACCGCCAGGGGCUGAGACCUCCCCAUCACACACGUGGAGCAGACAUCAAGGAAACAACUCUUAGGAGAAACAAAUGCACAUUCCCCAGAGAAAUCCCACCGGGUGACAUUGGCACAACCCCGACCCAGAUCCCCUCAGAGGCAGGCCCUCUGCAGCAGCAAAAUAUGCUCCAAGAGACCAAGGAGUAAGGCUGUUCUACCAAUCACUGCAUUCCUACCCUGCCCCAACCAUCUCCUACGCUUGGGGUCUUGCCCACAGAGGACCUUUGGGCUCAUGCUCCAAGUCCCAGAUUCAGGGCGUACAAGGGAUGUCACCAGGUUAAAUAAGUUCCCGUGGGCUCCCACUUCUCCUCUAGACAUCUGGGUCCAUGAAACCAAUUCAGGCUGGUCUGUCCUUCUGCCUGACCGAUGGAUCAGAGGUCAAGGUGGGUUUUGGCCCAGGUUAUGCCUCAGUACAGUGGACUUGUGCUUACAGCU